rnacentral:rRNA from 1 species
UGCAGUCGAACGGCAGCACGGGGGCAACCCUGGUGGCGAGUGGCGAACGGGUGAGUAAUACAUCGGAACGUGCCCAGUCGUGGGGGAUAACUACGCGAAAGCGUAGCUAAUACCGCAUACGAUCUACGGAUGAAAGCGGGGGAUCGCAAGACCUCGCGCGAUUGGAGCGGCCGAUGGCAGAUUAGGUAGUUGGUGGGGUAAAGGCUCACCAAGCCGACGAUCUGUAGCUGGUCUGAGAGGACGACCAGCCACACUGGGACUGAGACACGGCCCAGACUCCUACGGGAGGCAGCAGUGGGGAAUUUUGGACAAUGGGCGCAAGCCUGAUCCAGCCAUUCCGCGUGCAGGAUGAAGGCCCUCGGGUUGUAAACUGCUUUUGUACGGAACGAAAAGGCUCUCUCUAAUACAGGGGGCUCAUGACGGUACCGUAAGAAUAAGCACCGGCUAACUACGUGCCAGCAGCCGCGGUAAUACGUAGGGUGCGAGCGUUAAUCGGAAUUACUGGGCGUAAAGCGUGCGCAGGCGGUGAUGUAAAACAGUUGUGAAAUCCCCGGGCUCAACCUGGGAACUGNNUCUGUGACUGCAUCGCUGGAGUGCGGCAGA